CAAAGGAGAGAUCCGGUACCGGCUGGGCAUGCGGCGCAUUAGCUAGUUGGCGGGGCAACGGCCCACCAGGGCGACGAUGCGUAGGGGUUCUGAGAGGAAGGUCCCCCACACUGGAACUGAGACACGGUCCAGACUCCUACGGGAGGCAGCAGUGAGGAAUAUUGGUCAAUGGGCGCAAGCCUGAACCAGCCAAGUCGCGUGAGGGAAGACGGCCCUACGGGUUGUAAACCUCUUUUGCCGGGGAGCAAGCCUGAGCACGUGUGCCCAGGCGGAGAGUACCCGGAGAAAAAGCAUCGGCUAACUCCGUGCCAGCAGCCGCGGUAAUACGGAGGAUGCGAGCGUUAUCCGGAUUUAUUGGGUUUAAAGGGUGCGCAGGCGGGCUGUUAAGCCGGCGGUAAAAAUUCAGGGCUCAACCCUGUCGAGCCGUCGGAACUGGCAGUCUUGAGUGGGCGAGAAGUAUGCGGAAUGCGUGGUGUAGCGGUGAAAUGCAUAGAUAUCACGCAGAACGCCGAUUGCGAAGGCAGCAUACCGGCGCCCAACUGACGCUGAGGCACGAAAGCGUGGGGAUCGAACAGGGUUAGAUACCCUGGUAGUCCACGCAGUAAACGAUGAGCGCUAACUGUCCGGAGCGAGCGAGCUCUGG
rnacentral:rRNA from 1 species